AGAGUUUGAUCCUGGCUCAGAUUGAACGCUGGCGGCAGGCCUAACACAUGCAAGUCGAGCGGUUGAAGGAAGCUUGCUUCCUGAUUCAGCGGCGGACGGGUGAGUAAUGCCUAGGAAUCUGCCUGGUAGUGGGGGACAACGUUUCGAAAGGAACGCUAAUACCGCAUACGUCCUACGGGAGAAAGCAGGGGACCUUCGGGCCUUGCGCUAUCAGAUGAGCCUAGGUCGGAUUAGCUAGUUGGUGAGGUAAUGGCUCACCAAGGCGACGAUCCGUAACUGGUCUGAGAGGAUGACCAGUCACACUGGAACUGAGACACGGUCCAGACUCCUACGGGAGGCAGCAGUGGGGAAUAUUGGACAAUGGGCGAAAGCCUGAUCCAGCCAUGCCGCGUGUGUGAAGAAGGUCUUCGGAUUGUAAAGCACUUUAAGUUGGGAGGAAGGGCAGUAAGCGAAUACCUUGCUGUUUUGACGUUACCGACAGAAUAAGCACCGGCUAACUCUGUGCCAGCAGCCGCGGUAAUACAGAGGGUGCAAGCGUUAAUCGGAAUUACUGGGCGUAAAGCGCGCGUAGGUGGUUUGUUAAGUUGAAUGUGAAAUCCCCGGGCUCAACCUGGGAACUGCAUCCAAAACUGGCAAGCUAGAGUAGGGCAGAGGGUGGUGGAAUUUCCUGUGUAGCGGUGAAAUGCGUAGAUAUAGGAAGGAACACCAGUGGCGAAGGCGACCACC
rnacentral:rRNA from 1 species